AUCUAGCUGAUGAGUCGAAAAUAGAAUGAAACAUGUGUCUUUGAU
rfam:Schistosoma mansoni strain Puerto Rico chromosome 6, complete genome